rnacentral:rRNA from 1 species
AUUGAACGCUAGCGGCAGGCCUAACACAUGCAAGUCGAACGAGUGGCGGACGGGUGAGUAAUGUCUGGGAAACUGCCCGAUGGCGGGGGCUAACUACUGGAAACGGUAGCGAAUACCGCAUACCAUCGGAUGAGCCCAGAUGGGAUUCGCUAGUAGGUGGGGUAACGCCUCACCUAGGCGACGAUCACUAGCUGGUCUGAGAGGAUGACCAUCCACACUGGAACUGAGACACGGUCCAGACUCCUACGUGAGGCAGCAGUGGGGAAUAUUGCACAUUGGGCGCAAGCCUGAUGCAGCCAUGCCGCGUGUAUGAAGAAGGCCUUCGGGUUGUAAAGUACUUUCAGCGAGGAGGCGUUACUCGCAGAAGAAGCACCGGCUAACUCCGUGCCAGCCGCCGCGGUAAUUC